GAGAGUUUGAUCCUGGCUCAGAUUGAACGCUGGCGGCAUGCUUUACACAUGCAAGUCGAACGGCAGCACGGGCUUCGGCCUGGUGGCGAGUGGCGAACGGGUGAGUAAUACAUCGGAACGUACCCAGAAGUGGGGGAUAACGUAGCGAAAGUUACGCUAAUACCGCAUACGUUCUACGGAANAAAGUGGGGGAUCGCAAGACCUCAUGCUUUUGGAGCGGCCGAUGUCUGAUUAGCUAGUUGGUGAGGUAAAGGCUCACCAAGGCGACGAUCAGUAGCUGGUCUGAGAGGACGACCAGCCACACUGGAACUGAGACACGGUCCAGACUCCUACGGGAGGCAGCAGUGGGGAAUUUUGGACAAUGGGCGCAAGCCUGAUCCAGCAAUGCCGCGUGAGUGAAGAAGGCCUUCGGGUUGUAAAGCUCUUUUGUCAGGGAAGAAACGGUAGAGGCUAAUAUCCUUUGCUAAUGACGGUACCUGAAGAAUAAGCACCGGCUAACUACGUGCCAGCAGCCGCGGUAAUACGUAGGGUGCAAGCGUUAAUCGAAAUUACUGGGCGUAAAGCGUGCGCAGGCGGUUUUGUAAGCCUGACGUGAAAGCCCCGGGCUCAACCUGGGAAUUGCGUUGGAGACUGCAAGGCUUGAAUCUGGCAGAGGGGGGUAGAAUUCCACGUGUAGCAGUGAAAUGCGUAGAGAUGUGGAGGAACACCGAUGGCGAAGGCAGCCCCCUGGGGUCAAGAUUGACGCUCAUGCACGAAAGCGUGGGGGAGCCAAACAGGNAUUAGAUACCCCUGGUAGUCCCCCGCCCCUUAAACCGAUGUUCUACUUA
rnacentral:rRNA from 1 species